rnacentral:lncRNA from 10 species
CCCUUGGUUGCAUAUUGAGUGUCAGAGAUGUUGUGCACGUGGGGAUGCCAGCAGGGAGAAGCAGAUUGCAGCCUUGGGAGGUCUUUGACAUAAAGAUUAUGAUUCCGAUGCGAUGAGCAGCUCUUAUGAGUCGUAUGAUGAAGAGGAGGAGGAUGGGAAGGGGAAGAAAACCCGGCACCAGUGGCCCUCCGAGGAGGCCUCCAUGGACCUGGUCAAGGACGCCAAAAUCUGCGCCUUCCUGCUGCGGAAGAAGCGGUUCGGCCAGUGGACCAAGUUGCUCUGCGUCAUCAAAGACACCAAACUGCUGGUAAGACAUUUGGAAUCGCUUGCAUUUUUUGUAAGAUUGCUGCACUCAGAAGCCAUGGCGUUUAUAUCCAGUCACCAUUAACAUCAGCUGUGCAGGAAGGGCAGCACUCAGGUGUCAGCCAGGUGCCCUGAGCUAGCCGCAGUACCAUGCCAGGGGCCCCCACAUGCCAUCAGGGAGCACUCGCCCGUGUUGUGUGUUCAAGGUUGCCGGUUUCCCAGCUCCAAAAGCAGCCAGCGAACAAAAUCAUUCCCAUUCCCGGGCAGGGCCUGUGGUUUGCGUCUGUGGAAAUGCACAAGAUUUUAACUUGCCAGGAGUUGCAAGAUGGAUUUUCUCAUUUGUAGUGAGUCAGUGGAUUCCUCAAAGCCAGCUCAUAGAAGUGGGACGGGGAGCAGCCAGGAAAGGAAAUUCUUCUGGAAAGCUUGGGGCCAAUUCCCAUUUUUUUUUUUUUUUU